GACGGAGGAGGCAAGCGUUAUCCGGAAUUAUUGGGCGUAAAGGGUACGUAGGCGGCUGGUCAAGUCUGGGGUCAAAGGCCACAGCUCAACUGUGGGAAGGCCCUGGAAACUGACCGGCUAGAGUGAGGUAGGGGUUGCGGGAAUUCCCGGUGUAGCGGUGAAAUGCGUAGAGAUCGGGAAGAACACCUGAGGCGGAAGCGCGCAACUGGGCCCUGACUGACGCUGAGGCACGAAAGCUAGGGGAGCAAACGGG
rnacentral:rRNA from 1 species